CAAAUUAGAGCUUGCAGUAAGCAUUUCAUUUACAUUGAAAAGAUAUUAUUAGUUAAUUAAUUUGA
rnacentral:tRNA from 1 species